AACACAUGCAAGUCGAACGGAAAGGCCAGCGCUUGCACUGGUACUCGAGUGGCGAACGGGUGAGUAACACGUGGGUGAUCUGCCCUGCACUUCGGGAUAAGCCUGGGAAACUGGGUCUAAUACCGGAUAGGACCACAUUUUGGAUGGUGUGGUGGAAAGUUUUUCGGUGUGGGAUGAGCUCGCGGCCUAUCAGCUUGUUGGUGGGGUAAUGGCCUACCAAGGCGUCGACGGGUAGCCGGCCUGAGAGGGUGUACGGCCACAUUGGGACUGAGAUACGGCCCAGACUCCUACGGGAGGCAGCAGUGGGGAAUAUUGCACAAUGGGCGCAAGCCUGAUGCAGCGACGCCGCGUGGGGGAUGACGGCCUUCGGGUUGUAAACUCCUCUCGCUAGGGACGAAGCGCAAGUGACGGUACCUGGAGAAGAAGCACCGGCUAACUACGUGCCAGCAGCCGCGGUAAUACGUAGGGUGCGAGCGUUGUCCGGAAUUACUGGGUGUAAAGAGCUCGUAGGUGGUUUGUCGCGUCGUUUGUGUAAGCCCGCAGCUUAACUGCGGGACUGCAGGCGAUACGGGCAUAACUUGAGUGCUGUAGGGGAGACUGGAAUUCCUGGUGUAGCGGUGGAAUGCGCAGAUAUCAGGAGGAACACCGAUGGCGAAGGCAGGUCUCUGGG
rnacentral:rRNA from 1 species